rnacentral:sRNA from 1 species
ACUCAAAGAAGAAAGAAAAAA